rnacentral:rRNA from 1 species
UACGGGGGGAGCAAGCGUUGUUCGGAUUUACUGGGCGUAAAGGGCGCGUAGGCGGCCACCGCAAGUCAGUUGUGAAAUCUCUGGGCUUAACCCAGAAAGGUCAACUGAUACUGCGGGGCUAGAGUGCAGAAGGGGCAACUGGAAUUCUCGGUGUAGCGGUGAAAUGCGUAGAUAUCGAGAGGAACACCUGCGGCGAAGGCGGGUUGCUGGGCUGACACUGACGCUGAGGCGCGAAAGCUAGGGGAGCAAACGGG